UACGUAGGGGGCAAGCGUUGUCCGGAUUCAUUGGGCGUAAAGAGCGUGUAGGCGGCCAGGUAGGUCGGUUGUGAAAACUGGAGGCUCAACCUUCAGAGGUCGACCGAAACCAUCUGGCUAGAGUCCGGGAGAGGAGAGUGGAAUUCCUGGUGUAGCGGUGAAAUGCGCAGAUAUCAGGAAGAACACCCGUGGCGAAAGCGGCUCUCUGGAACGCAACUGACGCUGAGACGCGAAAGCGUGGGGAGCAAACAGG
rnacentral:rRNA from 1 species